ensembl:snRNA U6 U6 spliceosomal RNA
GCACUCGUUUCAGCAGUACAUAUGCUAAAAUUGGAACGCUACAGGGAAGACUAGCAUGGCCCUGCACAAGGAUGACAUACAAAUUCCUGAAGCAUUCCAUGUUUGA